AGAGUUUGAUCCUGGCUCAGGAUGAACGCUAGCUACAGGCUUAACACAUGCAAGUCGAGGGGCAGCAUGUUGGUUGCUUGCAACCAAUGAUGGCGACCGGCGCACGGGUGAGUAACGCGUAUCCAACCUUCCCCUUAGUAGAGGAUAGCCCGGCGAAAGUCGGAUUAAUACUCUAUGUUGUAUUUUGAUGACAUCUGACGAAUACCAAAGAUUUAUCGCUAAGGGAUGGGGAUGCGUCUGAUUAGGUUGCAGGCGGGGUAACGGCCCACCUGGCCUACGAUCAGUAGGGGUUCUGAGAGGAAGGUCCCCCACACUGGUACUGAGACACGGACCAGACUCCUACGGGAGGCAGCAGUGAGGAAUAUUGGUCAAUGGGCGCGAGCCUGAACCAGCCAAGUAGCGUGCAGGACGACUGCCCUAUGGGUUGUAAACUGCUUUUAUCAGGGAAUAAAGUGGGGCACGCGUGCCUUUUUGUAUGUACCUGAUGAAUAAGGACCGGCUAAUUCCGUGCCAGCAGCCGCGGUAAUACGGAAGGUCCGGGCGUUAUCCGGAUUUAUUGGGUUUAAAGGGAGCGCAGGCGGGCUUUUAAGCGUGACGUGAAAUGUGGCGGCUCAACCGCCGAACUGCGUCGCGAACUGGGGGCCUUGAGUGAGUACGACGUUGGCGGAAUUCGUGGUGUAGCGGUGAAAUGCUUAGAUAUCACGAAGAACCCCGAUUGCGAAGGCAGCCGACGAGUCCUUAACUGACGCUAAAGCUCGAAAGUGCGGGUAUCGAACAGGAUUAGAUACCCUGGUAGUCCACGCGGUAAACGAUGAAUACUGGUUAUCCGGCGCAUUGGGCGUUGGGUGACUCAAGCGAAAGCAUUAAGUAUUCCACCUGGGGAGUACGCCGGCAACGGUGAAACUCAAAGGAAUUGACGGGGGCCCGCACAAGCGGAGGAACAUGUGGUUUAAUUCGAUGAUACGCGAGGAACCUUACCCGGGCUCAAACGCAUGCGGACAGCCGCGGAAACGCGGUCUCCCUCCGGGGCUGCAUGCGAGGUGCUGCAUGGUUGUCGUCAGCUCGUGCCGUGAGGUGUCGGCUUAAGUGCCAUAACGAGCGCAACCCCCAUCUCCAGUUGCCAUCGCGUGGUGGCGGGCACUCUGGAGAGACUGCCGGCGCAAGCUGUGAGGAAGGCGGGGAUGACGUCAAAUCAGCACGGCCCUUAUGUCCGGGGCGACACACGUGUUACAAUGGCGGGGCACAGCAGGAAGCCAGGCGGCGACGCCGAGCCGAUCCCUAAAACCCGUCUCAGUUCGGAUCGGAGUCUGCAACCCGACUCCGUGAAGCUGGAUUCGCUAGUAAUCGCGCAUCAGCCAUGGCGCGGUGAAUACGUUCCCGGGCCUUGUACACACCGCCCGUCAAGCCAUGGAAGCUUGGAGUGCCUGAAGUGCGUGACCGCGAGGAGCGCCCAAGGGUAAGACAAGUGACUGGGGCUAAGUCGUAACAAGGUA
rnacentral:rRNA from 1 species